rnacentral:lncRNA from 1 species
ACCGCGGCGCUGGGGGUUCCUCCCGGCGAGACUGGCGGGGCUGCGGCGGCUAGGAGAGUGAUGCCAUGGAGCACAGUGGUGGAUAAGGAAGACAUGGUCUGGCCGUAACAAUUUUGAAAUCUAAUGAAGCAGAUUAAAAAGAUAAGUACUUACAAUAAAAGUGUGGAAAUUCUAACAAUAGGGGAAGUAUAGGGCAGUAUGUGAUCACUUGGCAGCCAAACUUCUUGCUUCCUAUGUAAGACUCUCACAGUCAGACUGGAGCUGCACAUCUCUGCCGCUGCACAACACAUGGAGAAUAGUCUGCUGUAUCCUAGCCUUGCCAAGCCCUUUCAGGACCCCAUGUCUUUACUGGAUUGCCUGUCCACUUCCCCACGCCCCCGACCCUCAUCCCCGCAUAUUAUUUUGUAACAUAUUUCUUCAUGGUAUCCCAGCUUUAAAGUCUUCAAUGAAACCUUUUAAACUCCUACAGUUAUUGUAUAUGUUGUGUUUCCACAUUUCUUUAUUUAGAUGCCUCUAAUAGCAAGAAAAGUUAUAUUGUAGUUUAUUAACUUAUUUACUGCAUCUCUCAAUAUCCUGAGCUCCUAAAGGAACUCCUGAAAGUUCCUCAGCACUUAGCGUGACAACUAGUACAUAGUACCUGCUGUAUUCUAUAAAUGUCCUUUAUGUGAGUAAGUCAGUGUAAAUGUUUUGGUGCAGCAUUAUACUUUGGUAAAAUAGUACUAUGUUAAUAUUACUAACAUUUACAUUUAUUCCUAAGAAAGGAAACCAUAAGAAUAAUUCAUGGUUAUAUUUUCUAGAGACUAGGCUUGUUUCGUCCAGUAUGGUACUCAAUAGCCAUAUAAAGCUAUUUACAUUUAAAUUAAUUAAGAUUAAAUACAAUUGAUAAUGUGGUCCUUCAGUUGCACUAGCCACAUUUCAGAUUCUCAGUAGUCACAUGUGCCUCAUGGCUAUCAUAUGGGAUAGUUUAGAAAAACAUCUUCGUCUUCACAGAAAGUUUUAUUGUACAGCUCUGGUCUAGACCUUUGAUGGGAUGCACAUUUGUUCAGACUCUGAGAUCAUAUAACUUAAAUAUCUCCACCUAGCAACCAUAUACUCUAACUACAUUUUCAGUUAUUUUGAAUGGGUAAUAAGCAUUUGAAUGGAGGAUAUUUCAGUGUUGGCUGAUAUCUGAUAUUAAGUAGAGCUUUAAUCAAUACAGUGCAUGCCUAGAAUAAUGGUAAGAAUCCCAAGUGGCUAUUUAAUAACAGAUGAGAGAUUCUUUUGAAGAGCAAGCUUUGUGUAGACUUGGGAAAUAGAAUUUCCAUUCUCUACAAAAUAUUGUAAUAGUUGUGUUUGUGUCUACAAACUUAAGUUGAAUUUUGAUAUGUAGAUGAUGGGGGAGGAUUGAUGGUGUCUUCAGCUGCACUCUGUACAUGAUUUGUGACACUAUCCUUAGACUCACUUUAAAAUAUGAAGGGCAAUAAAAUAUUGCCACAUUUAUAAUUUGAAUUGAUGGCUACCCUGAUAGCAUAUCAAGUGUGAUCUGGUAAAGUUCCUCCAUGAUAAAUUUUAAAAAAAUAAAAUUUGAAGCAUUUUUUCCUUGUCUGUCAAGAAAAUACAACUGUAAACUUUGAAAUACUUUUCCUGGUUCAACUAGGAAAAUAAAACUAAGUAACUACAAUUGGGUAUUGUCAAGCAAAUCAGUAUUCACUGUUUGUCACAUAGGGAAAUUACCAAGACAUAGUGUUAAUUGUGUCACUGACAUUAUCCUAUUGUAAUGAAGGAUUUAAAAAUUAUUUUAAUCCCAUAAUCAAAAAUGGUAGUGAACAUCCAAACAUAGCAAAUAUUAGUGCCUUAGGAAAACACUAUGAUUCAUGAGUAGAAGGAGAGGAAAAAGACCACUGAAAAAGAGGAAAGUAAUUAGAGCAGCAAAAAAUUAUAGACGAAGGAUAGUUAACAAUAACUCUACAGAGUUAAGGACAAGGAAAAUAAUGCAGAACCACUGGCUAUUACAGCAAAAAGGCUAUGCCUUUUACUUUAUUUAUUUAUUUAUUUAUUUUUAAAAAUAGAGAUGAGAUCUUGCUCUGUUGCCCAGGCUGGUUUCAAACUCCUGGCCUCAAGUGAUUCUCCCACCUUGGCCUCCUUAAGUUCUGAUUUUACAGGUGUGAGCCAUCGUGCCCAGCCAGGCUGUGACUUUUAACAGGGGAUUGUUUCUUUUUUUCCUGCCAUGGUUGCAAUAGAAGUCAGAUUGUAAGAGCAUAAAGAAGCCAUAUUAGUGUGGAGACAAAAGUGACUCCACCUUAAAUGCUAAUCUGCUAUAAUGAUUUUUGAGUAUCCUCAGUCCCAUGAAUGCCUCCUGAUUCCUACUUUAUUUACUGUCCCUAGAGAAAGAACAUGUCAAUCUUGAUGUUAUCCCACAGUUUACAGACUAUGAUGAAUAUAUAGCAUUGUUGCCUGUUCUGGAGGAUUGCCUUUAAUUAUCUUGCAUAGAGAGCACUUAUACCCUUUCACUGUAGUAUAUAAGCUCUGGGUUGGGAGGUAACAGGUUUAGAGAUCUACCUGUCUUGCUGCUGCCCAAGACCACACUUCCGUCUGUAAGUUACCUCCAUCACUGACAAACUGGAUUUUUCUACCUCAUUCUUUGAUUUCUCAGCUCCUCUGGCAUUUGGGGGGAACUUUGCAUAUAUGGUGGCCCUUUCACAGAACAGUCAGCAUUCUCCAGAGUAACAGAGAGAUUAUAGUAAUUGGCCCAUGUGAUUAUGGAGGCUGAGAAGUCCCAUGAUCUGCAAGCUGGAGAACCAUAGAAGUUGGUGGUGUAGUUCAGUCUGAGUUUGAAGGUCUGUGAACCAGGAGUGCUGAUGUCCGAGAGGAGGAGAAGAUGGCUGUUCAGCUCAAGCAGAAAGCUAAUUCACUGUUCUCUGCCUCUUUGUUUCAUUCAAGCCCUCAAGGGAUGGUAUAAUGCCUACCCAAAUGGGUGAGAGCGUCUUUUUUACUCAGUCUACCAAUUCAGAUACAAGUCUCUUCUGUAAACACCUUCACAGACAUACCCAGAAAUAAUGUUUUACCAGAUAUUUGGGCAUCCUUUAGCCCAGUCAAACUGACACAUAAAAUUAACUGUCAUAGAAGGACUACCUCGUUAGCAACUAAGAACAAUGGGACUUAGAACAAAGACCUCAUCAGGUAUUAAAUUGGAAGAAGAUACAUUAAUGAAAAGAAAUGUUAUGGUACUGUUGAAGAUGGAGGCAGCAAGACCCUCCGAGGCUAUAGAAAAAAUAGCGUAAUAAACCCAGAAAGGCUCUUCAAGAUAUCUAUGUUAGUGUUCUACCUAACACAGCAAUAAUUUCUUUGCAAAGCCCCUGGCAGAUUAUUUAGUUUUGCUUGGAUCCUUAAGGUGAUGAAGUGUUCCCUUUUUAGCAAGGUAAAUGAAUCUGUUUUUGGACAGAUGUAACUCUUAGAAAUUUCUUCCUUGUACUGCUAAAGCAAGGUCUGUUUCCCUGUAGCUUCCAUAUGGUUUCCUUAAGUGAUAAACAGACUGACUGUAAUAUAUCUUUCCUAUGACAGCCCUCCAAAUAUCUGAAGUAUGUCCCUCCUGUUUUCUUUUUUUAAGUUAAGCAUCCCAGAUACUUCAAUUUAUAUCUCCUCACAAGAUUGCCAGACCUCUUAAUAUUUUGGCUGCCCAAUCAGAAUAAAGUUGUUGAACUCUAGUUUGCCAGUGUCAAUUUUAAAAAGUAAUGUCCAGAAGGAAUUUUGUAUUUUGCAUGUAGUCUGACUGGAACAGAUAAGAGACAGUGAAAUUAAUUUUGUUAGAUAUUUUACACUUGUUAAUUGGACUCUUGGCCUAAACUGAACUGUAAUGAAUGUACCUGUCUGGUAUUUAUCUAAAUUGCCAUCAAACCAGGUUUAGUCUAUUCUGUAGCUGAAAAAAUUAAUUUUAUUUGAUAAAUUUUACCUUGUUCGUUUUGAUCCAUUCAUUCAUUUAUUCAUUCAUUGUUUCAACAAAUACUUUUUGAGGUCAGCAUUGUGGCAGUCUUCGUUAUGCCCUGAGAUUACCAGAAAGUACAGGUUAUUCCAAUUAGUUGAACAACUUGAGAUCAUUUUAAAAUGUAAAUCUAAUAUUCAACAUUGUUAUUUUUACAUCACCUGUCAUCUAUAAAUUUCAUAAACAUGAUUGUAUCUUUAUUCAGUUAAUAACAAGAUUAAAAAAUCAAGGACAUAUUGUGAUAAGCUGGUGAUUUUGAAUCAUCAGGAUUCUAGAUUUAAAAGUUUUUGGAGACAGAACAUUUAACGGUGUGAUUUAUUUAUUUUAUAGAAGAGAGUUAAUAUAUAACUUAGAGUUUGAUUGUCUUAAAUACCGUAUUUCUCUUUUUGUCCCAGGGGAAGAUCACAGAAUGCUGCCUUGCUUGUGGAAUUAUAGAAUUCAAAUCUAUCAGUUUUAUAGGGAGUAAUUUUUCAAGACUUACUCUUAAGGAAUUCAUACUGAUUCCUAAUAAUCAUCAUUUUCUUAAUCUAAAUCCUACAAAGCCAUUCAUUUAAUCAUUUGUUUUAGAAUGUUUCCUGCUUUCCUGUAUGUUUCUUUUUCUUCUUACUUUAAAGCAAGGUUUAAACAUCCCUUUUGAUAUUUUUAGGUUUUGUCGGGGUGUAGGGAGCAAGGUUAUUCUCACUGUGACCUUUGCCCUGCAGCAGUAAAGCAAUAACUAGCAUCAUUUCUGCUUUGUAUUGUUUUAUCAUUUCUACAUCAUGUUUGUAGGCUGACGAAUGAAGUCAAAUGCUUAUAAAUGCUUUGUAAACUAUAAAAUUCUCCAUUUAUAUAUAUUUCUGCCCCACUUAUUUCUCAUUAAUGUUACUUGUGAUUAUAUUGUCAGAAUUCCUUAGAGCCACAUUUUUGUGAAUAUUGUGCUGCAAAUAUAUUUAUUUGUUUGUAAGCACUAAGUAUUCUUUUGUUCCCAAGAAAACAAAUUCUAUAUGAGUCUUUUCUGGUUCUGUUUUUCUUUUGUUUCAAUCUCUUCACAAUAUUGUAUUUAGAGCCAGAUUUAUCAGCCCCAGGCAUCUCUUGCUUUCCUGUGUCUACUUCUUCACAGUAUAACUCUCAGGCAAAAUGACAAAAAGGCAAAUUCACAAAGGAACCAGUGAGUGUUCUUGUCAGUGCUUGGGUUCCAUUCUCAAAUAAGCUGAAAGUUCUUCUAUUUCAUCAACAGAAUGUGAUUUAAAGGGAUAUAUUGCCAGCUUGUAUCACUGCUAAACAGUGGUGUGUCACUGUAGAGCAAAUAGUCACAAGAAUACAUUCUCAGGAAAUAUACAGUUAUAUCUAUGCUUUCUGCCAAGCAAGGAGAAACGCAGACUGGCUCAAAUCUCCAGAAACGACUUGCAUCCUUCUUUAUUUCUUACACCUUUUCUUUUCUUCAUCUCCUAUUUCUUCUUUCCCCAUGUCCUCCUCCUGCUUUCACAAUUUCCUUCUCCUCCUUAUUCUCCUUCUCUUUCACCUCCCCGUCUUCUUCCUUACGCGUUGAUUAUGCCAGUAAGAUGAUAUCUUGUAAAGAAAUGGAAUACUUUUAGCAGAUGCCACACUAUAGCCACAGUAGUGACAUCUGGAAUUUGUCAAAAGCCACAGUUGGCAUCCCUAAAAUUCACCUGCCUGGAUUCUGUUCUGAGAAGAUUGUGUCUGCAAGAAAGUCUGGCCAAGUUCCUAAAAGAGGCAAAAUCAAGGAUAGAUGGCAUCUAUCCUAGUUCACGUGAAGGUUAAAAGCGUCUUCAGGUACUUAGAUACAUAGAUAUACAGGCUCUGUUAUUACAAACUUUCAAGGCAAUUCUUAUGUUCUUAUGUAUUUAUUUGCUUUUUGAAUCACAAAAUUUAUGCUUAUAUUUUAAGCAGAUGGAGUUUGUUUAUGAAGAAGUGAUUAUUGCUGAUACUCAUUAUUACACAUCAGAGUAGUUAUAUUUCUAUGUAAUUUUUUGCAUGGAGUAGGCAUUUGUGGUCUUGCUCUACAUCUGUUUGAUCAUAGCAAUUCCAGUUGAUUUCACAGGGUCAGCAAAUACACAGCACAUAAGCUAACACUCUUCCUUCUUGUACCCACAGUAGACCACUAAUCAAUUAUGGCGUUUGUCUUGCUAAGCCAGGAAACAGCUUCAGAAUCCUUCUCAAACAAUGUUUCAGACAGCUGCUAUUAAUAUGUCAGAGUUGGCACUUGAUGAGAAAUACAGUUGCCAUUCCAGAUUAAGGCCAACACCCCCCACCGCCCCAAAAAACAGCCUCAUAAAAAGACCUCUGAGCAGUGGCAUCAGAAAUCUAAGGGUCACUGAUGGAGUAUGACAGGAAUCUAAGACAGAGAGAGAUCCUAAUUUCCCAGGAGCCAGUAAUGCAGAGUGGAUAAUUCUGGUUUGGACUUAAGGUAGAUGUAGGAUGGAAGUAAAAAAGAAAACAUACAUUGGGACUGGGUCCUUAGAUCUAUAAAUUGUUUAUUUGGGUAGCCAUUACUCAGAUUUCUCUCAUUCUAUAGAGUGGUUUUUUAGAGUUUCACAGUGGUACCUAAUUGUGACAAUACGGGUCUUUCCUAUGAUUAGUGACCCAAUAGAAUAGUGAAAAGGAAAGUAUUUGUUUUUGUACAACAUAGAGGCAUGAGUGCCUUCUUUUAACCCAUUGAUUCCCACACUUUGAUCUUGAGAAACUUACUGUCUUAAACCUUCUGAAGACCUCCCAAAGGGCUUUUGUUUAUAUGGCUAUAACUUUCAAGAUUUAUCAUAUUUAAAUUAAAAUGGAAAAAUGUUAAAAUAGUUAUUGAAAAUGAAAAUAGUAAAUGCCUGUUUACUUAAAUAAUAUUUAAUCUCACAGAUCCCCUGAAAGAUUUUGGAGAAUUUCCUGAUUGGCACUUUGAAAACUGCUGCUGUAACCAAUUCUGUGAUGACUGCUGACUUGAUGUAAGGUGAAUGCAGAAAGUCUCCUGCUAGGACUCUCCCUGGCAUUGCCUCAUUCACAAAAAAUUUCAGACACUAUAUAUAUCAAUUCAGAUAAUUCAUUCAGUUAAAUGUUUAUUAAAUAUAUUUUCAAAUUGUUUAUUGAUAUAUAAUUAUUCUAUCAAGGACACAUAUAAAAUAAUUAGGUAUAGAAAAAUAUAAGAAAGAAAAGGAAAUCAAGAUUAGGAAAAAAUAACAAUGCAGAUAUUCAGACCAUAUAGUACUAUAAAGUUGGCUCAUUAUUUUGCUAAUGUGUUUACUGAGCACCUGUUCUAGACAUAGGAAAUGCAUGGAUGACUACAAUUGCCCCAGUUGUUAUCUCAUUGAGGUUACAUUAUAUUGUACUUGUAAAAUAUGCACCCCCACUCAUGGCUUUAGGCAAUACAAAUGAACAAAAACAAAAACCAGCCAAACAAAUAUAUCAGUUAAAAGAUCAUUGACCAAAAUGUUAAAUGGAGUACUCUGAGGAAGCAAAGAGUUUUGGAGAUAUGCAAAAUAAUUUUCUUAUAGUACAUUUCCUAAUUGACUUUAUAAAGCUGUUUCUUAUAGUCUUCAUUAAUGAAAGUUAAAGAGGCAUGAGAACAAAGUGCUGCUGAGAAUAUUAUAUCAGUUAACUUUUGCGAAAACAAAAGUAUAAUCCAUUUGUUGCCAAUAUUAUCAGACUGUGAUUCUAAAGUGAAACUACCUUUCUUUUUUACGUCCAUGUUUUCAUAGUAUAAGCCCCUCCUGGUCCAUUAAAAAUGUAGUACUGCCAACCUAAAGUUAGUACCAGGGCUUCACCUUAUACCAAGAGAGCUGAGAAAUGUUGGGGAGCACAGAUCAUUUGAUGCAUAGUGAAUACCUGAUAUAGCUGGUAGUUUGAAGUAGUAGCUCCUUAGAUGAUUUUUUUUUCCAGAAGGGGUAAGAAUGUUAUGUGUUAUAGAUGGAAUUCUGUCCUUCCAAAUGUAUAUGCUGAAGUCCUAACUCCCUGUACCUUAAAAUGUGACUGUAUUUGUAGAUAGCGUUUUUAAACAGUAAGUAGGUUAAAAUGAGGUCAUUAGGGUACUCUAAUCCAAUAUGCCUGUUGUCCUUAUAAAAAGGUGUGCUUAAGACACAGACACCUACAGAAGGAAGACCAUGUGAAAAUACAGGGAGAAGAAAGCUAUCUGUAAGCCAAGAAGUGAGUAAGGCCUCAGAAGAAAGCAAAGCCUGCCAACACCUGGAUCUUGGAUUCUGGCCUCCAGAAUCAUAAGAAAAUACGUUUCUGUUGUUUAAGCUACUUGGUCUGUGGUACUUGGUUACAGUAGCCCUAGCAAACUCAUAUGAUUCUGUGAUGAGGGGAAAGAACUGUUGAAAGGUGAGCAAUCAAAGAUACAAGGAAAAGGAAAAGGGAGGUGGAGGAGUGGUGGGGAUCAGAGCAAGAAAAUAUCGGGGCAGAAAAGUAUGGGGCAAAGUCAUAGAUAGGUGGUGUGUGUAUUAGUCGAUUCUUGCAUUGAUAUAAAGAACUGCUUGAGACUGAGUAAUUUAUAAAGAAAAGAGAUUUAAUUGGUCAGAGUUUUGCAGGCUGUACAGAAAGCAUGGCUUGAGAGGCCUCAGGAAACUUACAAGCAUGGCAGAGGUGAAGAGGAAGGAGGCCCAUCUCACAUGGCUAAAGCAGGGGGAAGAAAGAGGGAAAGGGGAGGUGCUAUGGACUUUUAAACAACCAGGUCUCUUGAGAACUUACUCACUACCACAAGAGUAUAAAGGGGGAAAUCUUCCUCCAUGAUCCAGUCACCUCCCACCAGGCCCCACCUCCAACACUGGGGAUUACAAUUCAACAUGAGAUUUGGGUGGGGACAAAAAUCCAAACCAUAUUAUUCCACCCCGGCCCCUCCCAAAUCCCUUGUCCUUCUCACAUUGCAAAAUACAAUCCUCCCUUCUCAACAGUCCCCUAAGUCUUAAUUCAUUUCAGCAUUAACUCAAAAGUCCACAAUCCAAAGUCUCAUCUGAGACAAGGCAUUCCCUUCUGUCUAUGAUCCUGUAAAAUUGAAAGCGAGUUAGUUACUUCCAGGACACAAUGGGAGUACAGGCAUUGGGUAUAUAUACCCACUCCAAGAGGGAGAAAUCAGCCAAAACGAAGGCACUACAGGCCCCAUGCAAGUCCAAUACCCAGAAGGGCAGUCAUUAAAUCUUAAAGCUCCGAAAUAAUCUCCUUUGGCUCCAUAUCUCACAUCCAGGCCACACUGAUACAAGGGGUGGACUCCCAAGGCCUUGGACAUCUCCACCUCUGUAGCUUUGCUGGGUACAGUCCCCUCAGCUGCUUUUACAGGAUGGUGUUGAGUGCCUGUGGCUUUUCCAGGCACAUAGUACAAGCUGUUGGUGGAUAUACCAUUCUGGGGUCUGGAGGACGGUGGCCCUCUUCUCACAGCUCCACUAGGCAGUGCCCAGUGGAGACUUUUGUGUGGGGCCUCCAACGCUACAUUUCUCCUCUGCACUGCUGUAGUAGAGAUUCUCCAUGAGGGUUCCAUCCAGGCAGCAGACUUCUGCCUGGAUAUUGAGGUGUUUUCAUAUAUUCUAUGAAAUCUGGGCAGAGGCUCCAAAGCCUUAACUCUUACCCUCUGUGCACCCACAGUCUUAGCACCACAUGGAAGCCACCAAGGCUUACAGCUUGCACCCUCUGAAGCAGCAGCCUGAUCCAUAUCUGGGGCCCUUUUAGCCAUGACUGGAGCUGGAGUGGCUGGGACACAGGGAGAAGUCUCCCAAGGUUGCUCAGGGCAGCAAGGCCAUAGCCUGGUCUACAAAACCAUUCUUUGUUCCUAGGCCUCUGGGCAUGUGAUGGGAGGGGCUGCCAUUAAGCUCUCUGAAAUGCCUUCCAGGCAUUUUCCCCAUUGUCUUGGCUACUAACAUUAGGCUCCUCUUUACUUUUGCAAAUUUCUGCAGCCAGCUUGAAUUACUCCCCUGAAAAUGGGUUUUUGUUUUCUACCACUUGGCCACAUUACAAAUUUUCAAAACGUUUAUGCUCUAUUUCCCUUUUAAAUAUAUGUUCCAAUUUCAGACCAUCUCUUUGCUCAUGAAUAUAAGCAUAUGCAGUUAGAAGCAGCCAGGAUACUUCUUGAACACUUUACUGCUUAGAAAUUUCUUCCACCAGAUACCCUAAAUCAUCUCUCUCAAGUUCAAAGUUCCACAGAUCCCUACAGCAGGGGCACAAUGCCACCAGUCUUUGCCACAGCAUAGCAAAAGUAACCUUUACUCCAGUUCUCGAUAAAUUUCUUAUCUCCAUCUGACACUACCUCAGCCUGGACUUCAUUGUUAACAACAAUUUAACAAGUCUCUAGGAAGUUCGAAACUUUCCCUCAUCUUCUUGUCUUCUUCUGAGCCCUUCAAAUUGUUCCAACAUCUGCCCAUUACCCAGUUCCAAAAUCGCUUCCACAUUUUCAGGUAUCUUUGUAGCAAUGCCCCACUUCUCUGGUACCAAUAUUCAGUAUUAGUCCAUUCUUGCUAUAAAGAACUACCUGAGACUGACUAAUUUAUAAAGAAAAGAGAUUUAAUUGGCUCAGAGUUCUGCAGGCUGUACCAGAAGCAUGGCUUGGGAGGCCUCAGGAAAUUCACAAGCAUGGCAGAAGGUGAAGAGGAAGGAGGCACGUCUCACGUGGCUGAAGCAGGGGGAAGAGAGAGGGAAGUGUGAGGUGCUACAGACUUUUAAACAACCAGAUCUUGUGAGAACUCACUCACUAUCAUGAGAAUAGCAAGGGGAAAAUCUAGCCCCAUGAUCAAAUCACCUUCCACCAGGCCCCGCCUCCAACACUGGGGAUUGCAAUUCAACAUGAGAUUUGGGUGGGGAUAUGAAUCCAAACCAUAUCAGUAUGGUGGGCCAAACAAUAGCAUCAGGCUGAGCAUGGUGGCUCAUGCCUGUAAUCACAGUACUUUCGGUGGCCAAGGUGAGUGGAUUGCUUGAACUCAGGAGUUUGAGACUAGCCUCAGCAACAUGGUGAAUCCUGUCUCUACAAAAAAUACAAAUAUUAGUGAAGUGUGAUGUUGUAUGCCUGUAGCCCCAGCUACUUGGGAGGCUGAGGUGGGAGGAUGGCUUGAGCCCAGGUGGCGGAGGUUGCAGUGAGCCAAGAUUGUCCCAUGCACUCCAGCCUGGAUGACGGAGCCAGAUCCUGUCUCAAAAAGAAAAAAAGCACCAAAAGACCUCCAUGUCAAAUUCCCAAAACUUGUGAUUUUUACCUUAUAUUAUAAAGGAUGGGAUAAAGUCAAGGCUCUGAGAGGAAAUGUUUAUCCUGGAUUAUCUGAGUCAGUCCUAAAUACAAUCACAUGUAUCCUUAUAAGGAAGGAGAGACAGUUGUGAGACAGACACAGAGAGGACAGAUACACAGAAGAGGAGAAGGUGAUAUGAUGUUGCCUCAAGCCAGAGAACACUGGGCACCCCCAGAAGCUGAAAGAGGCAAGGAAAGAAGAAAUUUCUGUUGUUUUAAGCCACCAAGUGUGUGGUCAUUUGUUACAGCAGCCACAGAGAACUAAUAUAGAUGGAUUGAGCUUGGAUAUCAGAAAAUAAAUUUCUUCCUUUCAGACAUGGGGUAGAAAAGUAAGGAUGUUCAUACACUGAUUAUCUUGGUGGAGGUGAUGGUGGUGAUAUUGUAGGUAAAGUAAUUACAGACUAUUCAUUUUGUAUGUAAUAAUGCAUCAAGAACUUUUCUGAUUUUUUAUUUGUUAGAAAACUCAGAGUUUAGACCAAAUCCUAAAUAUAAUAGAAAACAUUGAGUUUUUAAAAAAACUUUUGACCAUUUAUACCAACCAACUGUAAAGCUUCUUCUUUUAUAUCUUUCAGCAUUUAGUUAUAAAUAAUGAAUCAGGAAACAAAGGGCCAAUAAUGACAUAAUGAACUCCUUAAGGAAUGAUCUCCGUUCCAAGAUGACCGAAUAAGAACAGCUCCGGUGUGCAGCUCCCAGUGUGAUCGACACAGAAGACAGGUGAUGUCUGCAUUUCCAAUGGAAGCACCUGGUUCAUCUCACUGGGACUGGUUGGACAGUGGGUGCAGCCCAUGGAGGGUGAGCCAAAGCAGGUUGGGGUGUCACCUCACCUGGGAGGUGCAAGGGGUCGGGGGAUUCCCCUUUCAUAGCCAAGGGAAGUGGUGACAGACUGUUCCUGGAAAAACUGGACACUCCCGCCCAAAUACUGCACUUUUCCCAUGAUCUUAGCAACUGGCAGACCAGGAGAUGCCCUCCUGUGCCUGGCUUGGUGGGUACCGCCCCCAUGGAACCUUGCUCACUGUCAGUGCAGCAGUCUGAGAUCGACCUGCAAGGCAGCAGCCUGCUGGCGGGAGGGGAGUCUGCAAUUGCUGAGGCUUGACUAGGUAAACAAAGCUGCCAGGAAGUUCAAACUGGGUGGAGCCCACCACAGCUCAGUAAUGCCUACUGCCUCUGUAGACUCCACAUCUGUGGGCAGGGCAUAGCUGAACAAAAGGCAGCAGAAGCUUCUGCAGACUUCAACGUCCCUGUCUGACAGUUCUGAAGAGAGCAGUGGUUCUCCCAGCAGGGCAUUUGAGCUCUGAGAAUGGACAGAGUGCCUCCUCAAGUGGGUCCCUGACCCCCGUGUAGCCUAACUGGGAGACAUCUCCCAGUAGGGGCCAACAGAUACCUCAUGCAGACAGGUGCCCCUCUGGGAAGAAGCUUCCAGAGGAAGGAUCAGGCAGAAAUAUUUGCUGUUCUGUAAUAUUUGCUGUUCUGCACCCUCUGCUGGUGAUACCCAGGCAAACAGGGUCUGGAGUGGAGCUCCAGCAAACUCCAGCAGGGACAAGCAGUUCCCUGCAGCUGAGGGACCUGACUGUUAGAAGGAAAACUAACAAACAGAAAGUAAUAGCAUCAACAUCAAUAAAAAGGACAUCCACACCAAAACCCCAUCUGUAGGUCACCAACAUCGAAGACCAAAGGUAGAUAAAACCACAAAGAUGGGGAGAAAGCAGAGCAGAAAAACUGAAAAUUCCAAAAACAGAGCACAUCUUCUCCUCCAAAGGAUCACAGCUCCUCACCAGCAAUGGAACAAAGCUGGACAGAGAAUGACUUUGACAAGUUGACAGAAGUAGGCUUCAGAAGGUUGGUAAUAACAAAUUUCUCCAAGCUAAAGGAGCAUGUUCUAACCCAUUGCAAGGAAGCUAAAAACCUUGAAAAAAGGUUAGGUGAAUGGCUAACUAGAAUAAACAGUGUAGAGAAGACCUUAAAUGACCUGAUGGAGCUGAAAACCAUGGCACAAGAACUUCGUGACACAUGCACAAACUUCAAUAGCUGAUUCGAUCAAGUGGAAGAAAGGAUAUCAGUGACUGAAAAUCAAAUUAAUGACAUAAAGCAAGAUGACAAGAUUGGAGAAAAAAGAGUAAAAGGAAACAAACAAAUCCUCCAAGAAAUAUGGGGCCAUGUGAAAAGACCAAAUCUAUGUUUGAUUGUUGUACCUGAAAGUGACGGGGAGAAAGGAACCAAGUUGGAAAACACUUUUGAGGAUAUUAUCCAGGAGAACUUCUCCAACUAGCAAGGCAGACCAACAUUCAAAUUCAGGAAAUACAGAGAACACCACAAAGAUACUCCUUGAGAUGAGCAGUCCCAAGACACAUAAUCAUCAGAUUCACCAAGAUGAAAUCAAGGAAUAAAUGUUAAGGGCAGCCAGAGAGAAAGGUCGGGUUACCCACAAAUGGUAGCCCAUCAGACUAACAGUGGAACUCUUGGCAGAAACUUUAUAAGCCAGAAGAGAGUGGAGGCCAAUAUUCAACAUUCUUAACCAAAAGAAUUUUCAACCCAGAAUUUCAUCUCCAGCCAAACUAAGCUUCAUAAGUGAAGGAGAAAUAAAAUCCUUUACCGACAAGCGAAUGCUGACAGAUUUUGUCACCACCAGGCCUGCCUUACAAGAGCUCCUGAAGGAAGCAGUAAACAUGGAAAGGAACAACCGGUACCAGCCACUGCAAAAACAUGCCAAAUUAUAGAGACCAUCAAUUCUAUGAAGAAAUUGCAUGAAAUAAUGGGCAAAAUAACCAGCUAACGUCAUAAUGACAAGAUCAAAUUCACACAUAACAAUAUUAACCUUAAAUGUAAAUGGGCUAAAUGCCACAAGUACAAGACACAGACUGGCAAAUUUGAUAAAGAGUCAAGACCCAUCAGUGUGUUGUAUUCAGGAGACUCAUCUCACAUGCAGAGACACACACAGGCUCAAAAUAAAGGGAUGGAGGAAGAUCUACCAAGCAAAUGGAAAGCAAAAAAAAAGCAGGGGUUGCAAACCUAGUCUCUGAUAAACCAGACUUUAAACCAACAAAGAUCAAUAGAGACAAUGAAGGCCAUUACAUAAUGGUAAAGGGAUCAAUUCAACAAGAAGAGCUAACUAUCCUAAAUAUAUAUGCACCCAAUACAGGAGCACCCAGAUUCAUAAAGCAAGUCCUUAGAGACCUACAAAGAGACUUAGACUCCCACACAAUAAUAAUGGGAAACUUUAACACCCUACUGUCAAUAUUAGAAAAAUCAACGAGACAGAAGGUUAACAAGGAUAUACAGGACUUGAACUCAACUCUGCACCAAGUGGACCUAAUAGACAUCUACAGAACUCUCCAUGCCAAAAUCAACAGAAUAUACAUUCUGUAAAAGAACAGAAACCACAACAAACUGUGUCUCAGACCACAGUGCAAUCAAAUUAGAAUUCAGGAUUAAGAAACUCAUUCAAAACUGCUCAACUACAUGGAAACUGAGCAACCUGCCCCUGAAUGACUACUGGGUACAUAAAAAAAUGAAGGCAGGAAAAAAGAUGUUCUUUGAAACCAAUGAGAAAAAAGACAAAAUGUACCAGAAUCUCUGGGACACAUUUAAAGCAGUGUGUAGAGGGAAACUUAUAGCACUAAAUGCCCACAAGAGAAAGCAGGAAAGAUCUAAAAUCGACACCCUAACAUUACAAUUAAAAGAACUAGAGACGCAAGAGCAAACAAAUUCAAAAGCUAGCAGAAGGCAAGACAUAACUAAGAUCAGAGCAGAACUGAAAGAGAUAGAGACACAAAAAACCCUUCAAAAAAUCAAUGAAUCCAGGAGCUGUUUUUCGAAAAGAUCAACAGAAUCGAUAGACUGCUGGCAAGACUAAUAAGAAAAGAAAGAAGAAUCAAAUAGACACAAUAAAAAAUAAUAAAAGGGAUAACACCACCGAUCCCACAAAAAUACAAACUACCAUCAGAGAAUACUAUAAACACCUCUAUGCAAAUAAACUAGAAAAUCUAGAAGAAAUGGAUAAAUUCCUGGACACAUACACCCUCCCAAGGGUAAACCAGGAAGAAGCUGAAUCUCUGAAUAGACCAAUAACAGCCUCUGAAAUUGAGGCAAUAAUUAAUAGCCUACCAAUGAAAAAAAGGCCAGGACCAGAUGAAUUCUACCAGAGGUACAAAGAGGAGCUGGUACCAUUCCUUCUGAAACUAUUCCAAUAGGAAAGAGGGAAUCCUCCCUAAUUCAUUUUAUGAGGCCGGCAUCAUCCUGAUACCAAAACCUGGUAGAGACACAACAAAAAAACAGAAUUUUAGACCAAUAUCCCUGAUGAACAUCGAUGCAAAAAUCCUCAAUAAAAUACUGUCAAACCGAAUCCAGCAGCACGUCAAAAAGCUUAUCCACCACGAUCAACUUGGCUUCAUCCCUGGGAUACAAGGCUGGUUCAACAUACACAAAUCAAUAAACGUAAUUCAUCAUAUAAACAGAACCAGCGAAGAAAACCACAUGAUUAUCUCAAUAGAUGCCAAAAAGGCUUUUGACAAAAUUCAACAGCCCUUCAUACUAAAAACUCUCAAUAAACUAGGUAUUGAUUGAACAUAUCUCAAAAUAAUAAGAGCUAUUUAUAACAAACACGCAGCCAAUAUCAUACUGAAUGGGCAAAAUUUGGAAGCAUUCCCUUUGAAAAGUGCUAUAAGACAAGGAUGCCCUCUCUUACCACUCCUAUUCAACAUAGUGUUGGAAGUUCUGGCCAGGGUAAUCAGGCAAGAGAAAGAAAUAAAAGGUAUUCAGUUAGGAAAUGAGGAAGUCAAAUUGUCCCUGUUUGCAGAUGACAUGAUUGUAUACUUAGAAAACCCCAUUGUCUCAGCCCAAAAUCUCCUUAAGCUGAUAAGCAACUUCAGCAAAGUCUCAGGAUACAAAAUCAAUGUGCAAAAAUCACAAGCAUUCCUAUACACCAAUAACAGACAAACAGAGAGUGAAAUCAUGAGUGAACUCCCAUUCACAAUUGCUUCAAAGAGAAUAAAAUACCUAGGAAUCCAACUUAUAAGGGAUGUGAAGGACCUCAUCAAGGACAACUACAAACCACUGUUCAAUGAAAUAAAAGAGGACACAAACAAAUGGAAGAACAUUCCAUGCUCAUGGGUAGGAAGAAUCAAUAUCGUGAAAAUGGCCAUACUGCCUAAGGUAAUUUAUAGAUUCAAUGCCACCCCCAUCAAGCUACCAAUGACUUUCUUCACAGAAUUGGAAAAAAUUACUUUAAAGUUCAUAUGGAACCAAAAAAACCUGCAUUGCCAAGACAAUCCUAAGCCAAAAGAACAAAGCUGGAGGCAUCACGCUACCUGACUUCAAACUAUACUACAAGGCUAUAGCAACCAAAACAGCAUGGUACUGGUACCAAAACAGAGAUGUAGACCAGUGGAACAGAACAGAGACCUCAGAAAUAAUAAUACACAUCUACAACCAUCUGAUCUUUGACAAACCUGACAAAAACAAGAAAUGGGGAAAUGAUUUCCUACUUAACAAAUGGUGCUGGGAAAACUGGCUAGCCAUAUGUAGAGAGCUGAAACUGGAUCCCUUUCUUACACCUUAUACAGAAAUUAAUUCAAGAUGGAUUAAAGACUUUAAUGUUGAACCUAAAACCAUAAAAACCCUAGAAGAAAACCUAGGCAAUACCAUUCAGGACAUAGGCAUGGGCAAAAACUUCAUGACUAAAACACCAAAAGCAAUGGCAACAAAAGCCAAAAUAGACAAAUGGGAUCUAAUUAACCUAAAGAGCUUCUGCACAACAAAAGAAACUACCAUCAGAGUGAACAGGCCACCUAUAGAAUGGCAGAAAAUUUUUGCAUAGUACCCAUCCAACAAAGGGCUAAUAUCCAGAAUCUACAAAGAACUUAAACAAAUUUACAAGAAAAAAACAAACAACCUCAUCAAAAAGUGGGCAAAGGAUAUGAACAGACACUUCUCAAAAGAAGACAUUUAUGAAGCCAAAAAACGUGAAAAAAUGCUCAUCAUCAGAGAAAUGCAAAUCAAAACCACAAUGGAAUACCAUCUCACACCGGUUAGAAUGAAGAUCAUUAAAAAGUCAGGAAACAACAGAUGCUGGAGGGGAUGUGGAGAAAUAGGAACGCUUUUGCACUGUUGGUGGGAGUGUUAAUUAGUUCAAUCAUUGUGGAAGGCAGUAUGGUGAUUCCUCAAGGAUCUAGAACUAGAAAUACCAUUUGACCCAGCGAUCCUAUUACUGGGUAUAAACCCAAAGGAGUAUAAAUCAUGCUGCCAUAAAGACACAUGCACACGUAUGUUUAUUGCAGCACUACUCACAAUAGCAAAGACUUGGAACCAACCCAAAUGUCCAUCAGUGAUAGACUGGAUUAAGAAAUUGUGGCAUAUAUACCCCAUGGAAUACUAUGCAGCCAAAAAAAGGAUGAGUUCGUGUCCUUUGUAGGGACAUGGAUGAAGUUGGAAACCAUCAUUCUCAGCAAACUGUCACAAGGACAGAAAACAAACACUGCAUGUUCUCACUCAUAGGUGGGAAUUGAACAUUGAGAACACGUGGGCACAGGGAGGGGAACAUCACACACUGGGGCCUGUCAGGGGGAGGGGGACUAGGGGAGAGAGAUAGCAUUAGGAGAAAUACCUAAUGUAAAUGAUGAGUUGAUGGGUGCAGCAAACCAGCAUGGCACAUAGAUAACUACGUAACAAACCUGCACGUUCUGCACAUGUACCCUGGAACUUAAAGUAUAAUAAAAAAAAUGGACAAUGAUUUGAAAGACUCUUGGCCAAAUUUUCUAUUUAUUUAUUUAUUUAUUUUAUAUUUUAACUUCUAUUUUAGGAUUGGGGGUUCAUGUAAAGUUUUGUCACACAGGUAAACAUGUGUCACAAAGUUUUGUUGUACAUAUGAUUUCAUCACCAAGCUAUUAAGCCCAGUACCCAAUAGUUAUCUUUUCUGCUCCUCUACCUUUUCCCACCCUCCUCCCUUCUGAUAGACCCCAGUGUCUGUUCCUUCUUUGUGUUCCUAAGUUCUUAUCAUUUAGCUUCCAUUUAUAAGUGAGAACAUGAGGUAUUUGGCUUUCUGUUCCUGUGUUAGUUUGCUAAGGAUAACAUCCUCCAGCUCCAUCCAGGUUCCUGAAAAAAACAUAAUGUCAUUCUUUUCCAUGACUGCAUAGUUUUCCAUGACUGCAUAGUAUUCCAUGGCGUAUAUGGGAUAGUAUACAUAUACACCAUGUGUAUGCAUAUAUCUUUUCUUUAAUCUGUCAUUGAUGGGCAUUUAGGUUGAUACUAUGUCUCUGCUAUGUGUAUAGUGCUGCAAUGAACAUUUGUGUGCAUGUAUCUUUAUGGUAGAAUAAUUUGUGUUUGGAUAUCUUCCCAGUGAUGGGAUUGCUAGGACAAAUGGUAGUUCUCCUUUCUCAAUGUAUUAGGUAGUAUGAAGGAAGUGAGAGUGGCUAGUUUAAUUGGAAGCUUGAGGACAUGGGUAAAAGUUUGCAUUCUCCGUGGAGAAUCUAAAAGAGAGAAGAAAGGAAUCUCAGAAAGGAAUUCUUCAUUCUGUAUGUAGAAUCAAAGGAAGAUUAAACAAGAAAAAGUAGGACAGCUGAUCAGUGUUGAGAGCACAAGUAUGGACACGAAAAUUUGAAUGAUUUUCGUUCUGUGAGGUUGUGUGGCAUUUCCUGUCAACUCUGGAAAGAUGGAGAAGCUGUAAAAUCCAUAAUUAUAACUGAAGGCAUAUUUAGAGCAAGAGCAAAUAUGUAACUGAAACUGUUAUGUCAAGAAAAAGAUGAAAUUUCAUUCAAUAUUCAGAGUUUAAGAAAGAAUGAAUUGCACAUGAGAAUUCUGAAAGCAUUUGUUGAAGUUGAAAUGAUUAAAAUUUUUAAAGUUUUCAUGCCAGAAAGAAUAAACAUUAGCUGUCAAAAAAUUCAUUUAAAUGGAUAAACACUGAGCAAAUGAACUCUUCCUGGAUUUUUUACUUAUUACCUGAUUAAAUUGAUUGGCAAAAAAUUUAAAUUGUUUUUCUUUUUCUCUAAAUCUAUAUGUCAAAGUAAGAAACCCAAAACAAUCAACCUUGUAACUCUUUUAAGCAAAAUAUUCAGAAAUUGUUUAGGUGCCAGGCAUGUUGAAUUUGAGAUCCUGACAGCCAAAGAGCAAGUGCAUAUAUGCAUUUUAAGUAGUUUCCUAUAUCAUUAUUUCAAUGCCACUGCAAUCAUUCACUGUGUUAGGUGCUCCAAUCAUUUAUUGAUCUUCUGGUAACUAGCAUAGCAGCUGCAACAAAAGCCCUACCAUGUUUCUGUCUAGAAUCUCUGCUGCCCCACAGCACCUGCUGUGUACCCCUCACGGGGAGUUUAUAAAGAACAUUAGAUAACAUAGAGGCUUGUUUAGCUUAGUGCUGCAUUUAGUUUUGGUAUUGAGGAGUUCAUAGGUUGCCAAUACUUUCGUUUUGUUAUUUUAUUAUUGUUAUUUUUAUUAUUGUUUAUUAUUGUUAUUUUAUUAUUGUGGUGUUUGUUUCAAAAGACUGAAUGUUAGAAUGAAGUAUAUUUUAGGCCUGACUAAAAUGUUAUCAGGGCCAGGAAAUUUGGUGAGAUUUCUUUCAACAAAAAUCUCUUAGGCUCAUAGUGCAACUCAAUUCUAGGAAGCUCAAGAAAGCUACUAGUUUCAACUCAUCCAGUUGCCAGAUGCUAAUCUCUUGAUAGCAUGCUGCUUCAGCAUUCAUUCAUCUAUCGCUUGCUUUGGUUUCUGCCUUAGAAAAAGACAGGACCGAAUGCAGAGAAACUGAAAAUCAAACAAACAUACUCUCUGAGAAUAUAGUUAAAGGAAAUAAGGUUUUUAUUUAUGAAUGCGGCAAAGGUUACUGUUUCUUACAAAAUGAUAGUGACAUAAAAUAAAAACAAUGACUCUGAAAAGAAUGCAAAAUAAGCAUCUCAGUGUUUAAACUUGCAUCAUAAAUCCCAUGGGUUUUAUUUUAUAGGAAACGCUUAGGUCCUGAUUCAGAGCCUACUCACUGUGUUUUAUAUAAAAUUCCUACAUGCUUAAUUAUUUACUUUCUGAGCUUACAGAUGGUAUAUGGAGUGUGUAUAUCUAGGUAAUCCUGAGAAAACCACUAGACUGUAAACUCCAUGAGAGCAGAGACCAGAUUUAUUUUAUUUGAUUUUGGAUUUCCAGUGUUUAGCACAUUCCUGCUGUAUAGCAGCUGGACAAGAAAAAUUUAACAAAGAAAUGAAUGAUAAUUAAUUGGAAGUAAUCAGGGAAUCUAGACCUGUCUUAAUGAAACAGAUGUGAGAUAUAUCCUCUGAAGCCUAAAAAAUCAAAGUGGUGAUGCUAACAGUGUUGCCUUUUAGAGAUAGUUGGAAUGGAAAAAUAUUUAUUUUUUUCCGAGGUCUGCCAGUUCUGUCUUGAAUGACCUAAACCAUGAAAUUUAUACCUCAGAAUAUUGGCAACUAUUUAGAUCAAACGAAACUCAACCAUCUUCAAAAAAGUGACCUUUCAGAGAAAGUUGCUGUUCUUUUAUUGACUUCUUAAAUCAAACUUAUUUUUAAUGUGUCCCACAUGUUUAAAACAUAGUCUGCAUCAAACUUAACUCUAAAUUAUGAUGCAUCUGAACCUAAAUAUUGUCUCAACUAAAAAUUUUUAAUCAAAAUAACAGUGCACUUACUGGCUUAAUUCAACAUGGGGGAGCUGAUGUUUCUGAACCCUGGAGGCUAAUCCUAUGAUAGCAAUAGUCCUUGAGUAGUGUAGAUUCUUUUGCUUCUAUUUUUGAAGAAAGGUAAUGAAUAUAAAGGUAAUGAAUAUAAAGGAAUAUAAACAUCAGAGUUCUACUUCAUUAAAAUGUGGUUUAAAAUGAGGUGAAAACUGUCAGAAUAUUCUUAUUAUCAUGUGUUAUGAACAGAGUAUGCCAGGGAAUAAUUUAUUCAUCUAGAAUGAGCGUGCUAACUGUAAAACCCUUUGGUUAAAAGCACAGACUCUGAAGCAGACUAAAGUGCUUAAAUCUUGGCUGUGUCACUUACCAGCUAUAUGACCUUGGUAAUACUUCAUCUUUUUGGGCCUCGGAUUUCUCAUUUGUGAAAUGAUGGUAAUAAUAUUACCUAUUUAACAGGCUUGUUGUGAAGAUUCAAUGAGUUAAUAUGAAGUUCAUAGAAAGUGCCUGGAAUAGUGGCCGGGUGUGGUGGCUCACACCUGUAAUCCCAGCACUUUGGGAGGCCGAGGCAGAUGGAUCACGAGGUCAGGAGAUCUAGACCAUCCUGGCUAACACAGUGAAACUCUGUCUCUACUAAAAAUACAAAAAAUUAGCUGGGCAUGGUGGCAGGCGCCUGUAGUCCAGCUACUUGGGAGGCUGAGGCAGGAGAAUGGUGUGAAUCCGUGAGGCAGAGGUUGCAGUGAGCCGAGAUUGCACCACUGCACUCCACCCUGGGCGACAGAGCAAGACUCCAUCUCAAAAAAAAAAAAAAAAUAAAAAUAAAAGUGCCUGGAAUAUAAGUGCUAAAUAAGUGUUUGGUCACUCAUUGUUUCUCAUAAAGUGACACAAAACUUUAAUCAUUCUUUGGAGAAAGUUAUGUGAAAAGGAAGAGCAGCAUGCAGUCAUAACAUUAAUUCCAUCAAUUCCUUGGCUGUAUCUCUGUGCAAUUAGGCAAUCGUUUUAUUGCUAGUGCUAUUCCAAGGUUAUUUCACUUCAGUGGGCCUAGGAAGGCUUUAAUGCUGACUUCUUUCCCAUCAUGAGCAGAGUAAUGGGUCCUUUGGAUACCAAACCCCUUGGUGUAGCUUACUUGGCUUAAAUUAAUGUGCUCUGUUCAACCAGUCACACCUUCCUUACCCCCAGGAUCCCACAGCGUCUCUCAUUCUUGCCACCACCAAAGCAGCCUGCCAGCUUGUACUUGCCCCUCGAAGUUCCCAGGCAAGAGUCAGAGAAAGGUUCCCUGUGUCCUCCUAACUCCAUGGUAUGGAUCAGACACUUACAUGUGCAGAUCCUCUUUCUCCCUUGGCUCACAGCACCCUGGCAACUCUCACCAAAUAAAUCCUCCUUCCAAAUCCUUUCUCCAGUCUUAUUGUUUACUCCUUAUUACUUGCCAUGUGGGUUUUAGGGUUGUCUAACUAGUUCUCAACAAUACCACUUGGAAAAUGUGUAAGUACUACUGGAUGUUGUCCCUUAAUUCAUUUUAAUAUCUGAUGUUCACAUACCUUGGUGUCUCAGUUAAAAUUUCUUAUUUUCUUAUAGAAGCAAUAGCCUGGUUCUAUAAAGACAUUAAUGAUAUUUUUUAAAUAAAGUUUUAAUCCAGACUUUCUGUUCCUGCAGAUUCCUUUUGUGCAGUGUGUGUUUUUCUCUGCUCUUUAUCCUUCUUCCUGCACCCUUUUUUUCAAGAGUCUGGUGGUCCUCGACUGCCCUCAUUUCAGACAGAGGAACUGCACACUGACUGGAAACUCUGUCUGCAUGUGUUGAUUGGACUGUACACUGUGGCCUCUCUGCAGGGCAAUCUAGCUGGCAUUUCCACUGUGGAACACUAGCAAAAAUGAAUGUGUUAGGUCUUUCAUCCAGGGAUGAUUAUGCCAAGAAAAGAAUCCUCCAAUUUCCUGCUUUUGAAGUAUGGGUGGUAGAUAGGAUCUGGAUUGUCAGUUUUCUAAGCCAAAGUGAAGGAGACAGGGGUUUCACCAUUCAUAAUGUAGACUUUGCUGAUUCUCCUGUUUCAAGUAUUGCAUCUCACUCUUGCCCUCAGCCGUGAUGUUAUCUGUAAGUCUCGAACCUCUGUGGGCCAGAUCUUUGGAUUCUCCUGGUUCUGUCUGUCUUGUACCAGUAUACAGUGGAUCUGUGUGUGUGAUGAGUGAGGAAGGGGAUAAGAGACUUUCAUCCAGUCUUCCUGUGAACAGCGUCAUUUAUACCUUCACUAACAGAGAUACUUGACCCUCCAAUUCCUAAGCCUUUCUGCAGGUCUGCAAACUUUGUUUGCCAGAUAAGGUUGCUAUUUAUCCUGGUAACUGAAGACAAAGGGCAUAUACUCUUGGGAGUUCUGGAACAGGUGUUGGUUUCCAUGACUGAGAGACCCAUAGAUGGUUCACAUCACAGGACUCUGUGCAGACAACCCCCAGUACCAGCCUGGAGCCUGGUAGACUUGCUAGGUUGCUAGAUCCAGAACAGAGAUAACAAUCACUACAGCUCAGCUCUCAGAAAGCAACAUGCACAGGAAAAAGGGAAGAGUACUACAUCAGGGCAACAUCCUAUGGGACAAAACAAUCUGAAAAACAGCCUUCAGCCCUAGACCUUCCUUCUGACAGAGCCUGCCCAAAGAAGAAGGAACCAGAAAACCAAUUCUGGUAAUAUGACAAAACAAGGUUAUUUACCACGCCCGAAAAAUCACACUAGCUCACCAACAACGGAUCCAAAUGAAGAAGAAAUCCCUGAUUUACCUGAAAAAGAAUUCGGGAGGUUAGUUAUUAAGCUAAUUAGGGAGGCACCAGGGAAAAGUGAAGCCCAGUGUAAGGAAAUCAAAAAAUGGUACAAAAGGUGAAGGGAGGAAUAUUCAACGAAAUUGAUAGCAUAAAUAAAAAGUAAUAAAAACUUCAGGAAACAAUGGACACACUUAUAGAAAUGCAAAAUGCUCUGGAAAGCCUCAGCAAUAGAAUUGAACAAGUAGAAGAAAGGAAUUCAGAGCUCGAAGACAAGGUCUUUGAAUUAACCCAAUCCAACAAAGACAAAGAAAAAAGAAUAAGAAAAUAUGAACAAAGACUCCAAGAAGUCUGGGAUUAUGUUAAACAACGAAACCUAAGAAUAAUGGGGAUUCCUGAAGAAGAAGAGAGAUCUACAAGUUUGGAAAACAUAUUUGGGGGAAUAAUUGAGGAAAACUUCCCUAGCCACGCUAGAGACCUAGACAUCCAAAUAUAAAAAGGACAAAGAACAUCUGGGAAAUUCAUCACAAAAAGAUAAUUGCCUAGGGACAUUGUCAUCAGGUUAUCUAAAGUUAAGAUGAAGGAAAGAAUCUUACUUAAGAGCUGUGAGACAGAAGCACCAGGUAACCUAUAAAGGAAAACCUAACAGAUUAACAGCAGAUUUCUCAGAAGAAACUGUACAAGUUAGAAGGGACUGGGGCCCUAUCUUCAGCCUCCUCAAACAAAACAAUUAUAAGCCAAGAGUUUUUUAUCCAGUGAAACUAAGCUUCAUAUAUGAAGGAAAGAUACAGUCAUUUUCAGACAAACAAAUGCUGAGAGAAUUUGCCACUACCAAGCCACCACUACAAGAACUGCUAAAAGGAGCUCUAAAUCUUGAAACAAAUUGUGGAAACACAUCAAAACGCAACCUCUUUAAAGCAUAAAUCUCACAGGACCUAUAAAACAAAAAUAAAAUUUAAAAAAACAAAAACAAAAAGCUAAAAGUUAAGGGAUACAUGCAAUAAAUAGCACAAUGAAUGCAAUGGUACCUCACAUCUCAAUACUAACAUUGAAUGUAAAUGACUCAAUCUCCACUUAAAAGAUACAGAAUUGGAGAAUUAUAAAAAUUCUUGCUACCUUCAAGAGACUCACCUAACACAUAAGGACUCACAUAAACUUAAGGUAAAGGGGUGAAAAAGACAUUUCACACAAAUGAAUAUCAAAAGUGAGUAUGAGUAGCUAUUCUUAUAUCAGACAAAAUAAACUUUAAAGCAACAGCAGUUAAAAAAGACCAAGAGGGACAUUAUAUAGUGAAAAAAGGCCUUGUUUGACAGGAACAUAUGACAAUCAUAAAUAUAUAUACACCUAAGACUGGCGCUUCCAAAUUUAUAAAACAAUUACUAAUAGACCUAAGAAAUGAGAUAGAAGCAACACGAUAAUUGUGGGGGACUUCAAUACUCCACUGACAGCACUAGACUUGUCAUUAAGACAGAAAGUCAACAAGGAAACAAUGAAUUUAUACCAUGGAACAAAUGAACUUAACAGAUAUAUACAGAACAUUCCAUCCAACAACUGCAGAAUGUACAUUCUAUUCAACAGCAUAUGAAACUUCCUCCAAGAUAGACCAUAUGAUAGGCCACAAAAUGAGCCCAAUAAAUUUAAGAAAAUUGAAAUGAUAUCAAACAGUCUUUCAGACCAUAGUGGAAUAAAACUGGAAAUCAACUCUAAACCUUUAAAAUCAUGUAAAUAUCAUAGACAUUAAGUAGUCUUCUCCUGAAUGAUCAUUGUAGUCAAAAUGAAAUCAGCAUAGAAAUUACAAAAUUCUUCAAACUGAACGACAAUAGUGACACAAGCUAUCAAAACCUCAUGGAUACAGCAAAGGCAGUGAGAAGUGGAAAGCUCAUAGCCCUAAACACCUACAUCAAAAAGUCUGAAAGAGCACAAACAAAUAAUCUAAGGCCACACUUCAAGGAACUAGAGAAGCAAGAACAAACCAAACCCAAACCCAGCAGAAGAAAGGAAAUAACCAAGAUCAGAGCAGAACUAAAUGAAAUUGAAACAAAAAGAAAAUUAUGAAAGAUAAAUGAAACAAAAAGCUAGUUCUUUAAGAAGAUAUAUAAAAUUGAUAGACCAUUAGCAAUAUUAAUCAAGAAAAGAAGAAAAUCCAAAUAAGCUCAAUAAGAAACAAAAUGGAAGAUACUACAACUGACAGCACACAAAGAUCAUUCAAGGCUGCUAUGAACACCUUUACACACAUAAACUAGAAAACUUAGAAUAGAUGGAUAAAUUCCUGGAAAGGUGCAACCCUUCUAGCUUAAAUCAGGAAGAAUUAGAUACCCUGAACAGACCAAUAACAAGCAGCAAGAUUGAAAUGGCAAUUAAAAAAUUACCAGCAAAAAAAGUCCAGGACCAGACAGAUUCACAGCAGAAUUCUACCAGACAUUCAAAGAAGAAUUGGUACCAAUCCUAUUGACACUAUUCCACAAGAUAGAGAAGAAGGAAUCCUCCCUAAAUCAUUCUCUGAAGUCAGUAUCACCCUAAUACCAAAACUGGUAAAAAACAUAACCAAACAAGAAAUCUGCAGAACAAUAUCCCUGAUGAACAUAGAUACUAAAAUCCUUAACAAAAUACUAGCUAACUGAAUCCAACAACGUAUCACAAUGAUAAUCCACCAUGAUCAAAUAGGUUUCAUAUCAGGAAUGCAGGGAUGGUUUAGCACAUGCAAGUCGAUAAAUGUGAUACACCACAUAAACAGAAUUGAAAACAAAAAUCACAUGAUUAUCUCAAUAGAAGCAGAAAAGCAUUUGACAAAAUCCAGCAUCCCUUUAUGAUUAAAACUCUCAGCAAAGUUGGUAUAUGAGGGACAUACCUCAAUAUAAUGAAAGCCACCUAUGACAAAUUUAUAGCCAACAUAAUACCGAAUGGGGAAAAGUUGAAAGCAUUCCCUCUGAGAACUGGAACAAGACAAGGAUGUCCACUUUCACCAUUCUGCUUCAACAUAGUACUAGAAGUCCUAGCCAGAGCAAUCAGACAAGAGAAAGAAAUAAAGGGCAUCCAAAUCAGCAAAGAGGAAGUCAAACUGUUGCUCUUUGCUGAUGAUAUGAUCAUUUAUGUAGAAAACCCUAAAGACUCUUCCAGAAAGCUCCUAGAACUGAUAAAAUAAUUCAGCAAAGUUUCUGGAUACAAAAUUAAUGUACACAAAUCAGCAGCUCUUUUAUCCACCAAUAGCGACUAAGCUGAGAAUCAAAUUAAGAACACAACCCCUUUUACAAUAGCUGCCGGAAAAAACAAAACAAAACAAAAAAAACACUUAGGAAUAUACCUAACCAAGGAGGUGAAAGACCUCUACAAGGAAAGCUACAAAACAUUUCUGAAAGAUAUCAUAAAUGACAGAAACAAAUAGAAACACAUCCCAUGCUCAUGGAUGAGAGAAUAAAUAUUGUGAAAAUGACCAUACACCAAAAGCAAUCUAGAAAUUCAAUGCAAUUUCCAUCAAAAUACUGUCAUCAUUCUUCACAGAAUUAGAAAAACAAUUCUAAAAUUCAUAUGGAACCAAAUAAGAGCCCAUAUAGCCAAAGCAAGAGUAAGCAAAAAGAACAAAUAUGGAGGAAACACAUUACCUGAUUUCAAACAAUAAGGUUAUAGUCACCAAAGCAGCACGGUAUUGGUAUAAAAAUAGGCACAUAGACCAAUGGAACAGAAUAGAGAACCCAGAAAUAAACCCAAAUACUUUUAGCCAUCUGAUCUUUGACAAAACAAACAAGAACAUAAAGUGGGGAAUGGACACUCUUUUCAACAAAUGGUGCUGGGAUAAUUGGCUAGCCACAUGUAGGAGGACAGUGGAUCCUCAUCUUUCACUUUAUACCAAAAUCAACUCAAGAUGGAUUAAUUACUUAAAUCUAAGACCUGAAACUAUAAAAAUUCUAGAAGAAAACUUUGGAAAAACCCUUCUAGACACUGUCGUAGCAAGGAUUUCAAGACCAAAAACCCAAAAGCAAAUGCAACAAAAACAAAGAUAAAUAGCUGGAACUUAAUUAAAUGAAACAGCUUUUGCAUGGCAAAAGGAACAGUCAGUAGAGUAAAUAGACAACUCACAGAGUGGGAGGAAAUCUUCACAAUCUAUACAUCUGACAAAGAACUAAUAUCCAGAAUCUACAACGAACUCAAACAAAUCAGCAAGAAAAAAACAACCCCAUCAAAAAGUGGGCUAAGGACAUGAAUAGACAAUUCUCAAAAGAAAAUAUACAAAUGGCUAACAAACAUAUGAGAAAAUGUUCAACAUCACUAAUGAUCAGGGAACUGCAAAUCAAAACCACAAUGCGAUACCACCUUACUCCUGCAAGAAUGGCUUUAAUAAAAAAAUUAAAAAAUAGUAGAUGUUGGCAUGAAUGCGGUAAACAGGGAACACUACUACACUGCUGGUGGGAAUGUAAACUAGUACAACCACUGUGGAAAGCAGUGUGGAGGUUCGUUAAAGAGCUAAAAGUAGAACUAUCAUUUGAUCCAGCAUUUCCACUACUGGGUAUCUACCCAGAGCAAAAGAACUCAUAUGAAAAAGAUAUUUGUGCACACAUGUUUAUAGCAGCACAAUUCGCAAUUGCAAAAAUGUGAAACCAACCCAAAUGCCUACUGAUUAACGAGUGGAUAAAGAAACUGUAUAUAUAUAUGAUGGAAUACUACUCACCCAUAAAAAGGAAUGAAUUAAUGGCAUUCACCGUGACCUGGAUGAGAUUGGAGACCAUUAUUCUAAGUGAAGUAACUCAGGAAUGGAAAACCAAACAUCAUACGUUCUCACUUACAAGUAGGAGCUAAGCUAUGAGGAUGCAAAGGAAUAAGAAUGACACAAUGGGCUUUGGGGACUCAGGGGGAAAGGGUGGGAAGUGGGUGAGGGGUAAAAGACUACAAAUAGCAUGCAGUGUAUACUGCCUGGGUGGUGGAUGCACCAAAAUCUUACAAAUCACCACUAGAGAAUGUACUCAUAUAACCAAACACCACCUGUUCCCCAAUAACCUGUGGAAACAAAAAAUUUUUUUAAAUUAAAACUUAGAAGAAAAAAAGGAUGUAACAGAAUGAUAGGCUGGUGGUAAAAUCUGUCUAAUCUUGUUCAGUAGAAGGCAUAACUUGUGAAAACUGCCUGAUAUAAUAUGGUGUUGCUGUACAGGGAUACCUUGUCUUACUGCACUUUGCUUUAUUGUGCUUCAUAGAUAUUGCAUUUUUUACAAAUUGAAGGUUUGUGCCAACUGUGUUUUGAGUAAGUCUGUUGGCACCAUUUUUUCAAGAGCAGAUGCUCACUUUAUGUCUCUGUGUCAUGUUUUGGUAAUUCUCACAAUAUUUCAAACUUUUUCAUUAUUGUUAUACCUGUUACAGUGAUCUGUGAUCAGUGAUCUUUGAUGUUACUAUUGACUUCAUUUGGGGGCAUUACAAACCACAUCCAUAUAGGAUGUCAAACUUAAUCAAUGAAUAUUCUAUGUGUUCUGACUGCUCCAUUGACUGGCCAUUCCCCCAUCUCUUUCCUUUUUUGGUGGGUCUCUAUUUCCUGAGACACAAGAAUGUUAAAGUUAGACCAGUUAAUAACCUUACAAUGGCCUCUAAGUGUUCAAGUGAAAGAAAGGGUCACAAAUCUGUCACUUUAAACCAAAAACUAGAAGUGAUUAAGCUUAGUGAGCAAAGCAUGUCAAAAGCUGAGAUAGGCUGGAAGCUAGGCCUUUUAUGCCAAACAGUGAGCCAAAUUGUGAAUGCAAAGACAGAGUUCUUGAAAGAAAUUAAAAGUGCUACUUCAGUGAACACAUGAAUGGUAAGAAAGCAAAAGAGGCUUAUUGCUGAUAUGGAGAAAGUUUUAGUGGUCUGGGUAGAAAAUCAAACCAGCCACAACAUUCCCUUAAGCCAAAGCCAAAUCCAGAGCAAGUCCCUAAUUCUCUUCAACUCUGUAAAGCUUCAGAGAGUUGAGGAAGUGGCAGAAGAGAAGUUUGAAGCUAGCAGAGGUGAGGUCCAUGGGGUUUAAGAAGAGAAGCCAUCUCCAAAACAUAAGAAGUGCCAAUGCUGGUAUAGAAGCUGCAGUAAGUUAUUCAGAAGAACUAGCUAAGCAAAUCAAUGCAAUUGGCUACACUAAACAGCAGAUUUCCAAUGUAGGCGAAACAGCCUUCUAUUGGAUGAAGAUGCCAUUUAGGAUUUUCAUAGCUAGAGAGGAGAACUCAAUGUCUGGCUUUAAAGCUUCAAAGGACACACUGUUUUUCAGGGCAAAUGCAGCUAGUGACUUGAAGUUGAAGCCAAUGCCCAUUUAGUAUUUCAAAAAUCCUAGGGUGUCUCUCAGAAUGUUUGAGUGAAAAAAAAGAAAAAUAAUCCUAGUGCCCUUAAAAAUUAUGUUAAAUCUGCUCUGACUGUUCCCUAUAAAUGAAAAAGCAAAGCCUGUAUGACAGCACAUCUGCUUACAGCAUGGCUUACUGAACAUCUAAAUAUUUUAUGUCCACUGUUGAGACAUACUGCCUAGAAAAACUUCUUUCAAAAUAUUUCUGCUCAUUGACAAUGCAUAUGGUCACCCAAGAGUUCUGAUAAAAUUGUAGAAGAUUAAUAUUGUUUUUGUGCCAACGUUAUUGUGUUACUGUGUAACCAAUGGGACAAGAAGUAAUUUUGUUUAUUUUUAAAGAAAUGAAAUCUUGUUAUGGUUCCCAGGCUGGAGUCGAACUCCUGGCCUUAAAUGAUUCUUCCACUUCGGCCUUCUGUGUAGCUGGUAUUGUAGGCAUGCACCACCAUGCUUGACUUUCAAAUCUCAUUACUUAAGAAAGAUAUUUUGUAAGGCUAUAGCUGCCAUAGCUAGUGAUUCCUCUGAUGAAUUUGGGCAAAGUAAGUUGAAAACCUUCUGAAAAUAAUUUACCAUUCUAGAUGCCAUUUGUGAUUCAUGGGAGGAGGUCAAAAUAUUAACAUUGACAGGAGUUUGGAAGAAGUUGAUUCCAACCUUUAUGGAUGACUUUGUGGGGUUCAAGAUUUCAGCAGACAAAGUAACUGCAGAUGUGGAAAUAGCAAGAGAACCAAAAUUAGAAGAGAAGCCUGAAGAUAUGACUGAAUUGCUACAAUUUCAUGAUAAACUUUAAUGGAUGAUGAGUUGCUUUCUAUGGAUGAGCAAAGAAAGUGGUUUCUUGAGAUGGAAUCUACUCCUGGUGAAGAUGCUAUAAACAUUGUUGAAGUGAUAACAAACAAUUAAGAAUAUUCGAUAAACUUCAUUGAUAAAGCAGUGGCAGGGUUUGAGAGGAUUUACUCCAAUAUUGAAAGAAUUUCUAUUGCGGGUCAAAUGCUAUCAAGCACUAUCACUUGCUACAGAGGAAUCUUUCAUUAAAGGAAGAGUUAAUUGAUAAAGCAAACUUUAUUGUUGGCUUAUUUUCAGAAAUUGCCACAGCCACCCCAACCUUCAGCAACUAUCACCCUGAUCAGUGAGCAACCAUCAGCAUUGAAGCAAGACCCUCCACCAGCUAAAAGAUUAUGACUCGCUGCAGGCUAAGGUGAUCAUUAGCAAUUUUUAGCAAGAAAGUAUUUUUAAAUUAAGGUAUCUACAUUGUAUUUUUGUUGGAAUGCUAUUGCACAUUUAAUAGACUACAGUAUAAGGUACAUAUAAAUUUCAUAUGCACUGGAAAAACAAAAAAGUCGGUAUGAUCUCUCUACUGUGAUAUUGUCUUUAUUGUGGUGAUCUGAAACCAAGCCUGCAAUAUAUUUGAGGUAUGCCUGCCUUGUUUAUGUUAGAACGUUCAUAGAUAUAUCAGGCCUAACUUAGCAUCACAACUAGAACUCAGUAUUGUAAAUGGUUUACGUCAUUUCCACAUUUAGUGGAGACUUAAGCAUUCAUCCAGAUCAUAAAUUUUUUUCUCCCUCCUUUUUUUUUUUUGGUAUGUUUACAGUCUGGAAGGUAUUGAAAUAUCUAAAGAAUAAUGAAAAACUAGAAUUGGGUGAGGCCAACACUCUCAUGGUCAUUUCUUUCCUGUGUUAUUACUUUCUGUGAUACCAUCCAGCACAAAAUAGUAUUUAUCUAUUUUUAAUGACAUCCAGGGGAUAAGAUUCCUCUUGGCCACUUGGACCAAUGCUUAGGAGACUUCUCUGAAAAGAAGUAUUUCAUAUGUAGCGUGAAUCAUUUGUGUUGCUCUUUGAGUUCUUGUGAAUAAAUUCGGAAUUAGUUGAGCACCUGCUAUGUGCAGUACCCAGGGUGAGGGCCAUGAAAGGCAAAACAAUAUUUACAAAGUGUCUCUAUCCUUAUUAAAUAUAAGUAAGAAGGAAAAUAUAUAAAUAUUCAAGUAGUUAAUUAAAAUACAAGGAAUAUGAUAAAUAUUAAUUUGUUAACAAAGAAAAUAAGUGCAAUAUGAGACUCUAGAAACCAUAGACAACUGUGAGAUGGGGCGAUUAGGGAAAACUUCAAAGAGAACAUAACACUUACAUUGAACCUGGAAUUAUGGUUAGGGUUUGGGCUGAAAGAGAAAAAAUGAGAGUACACUCAAAGUGAAGAAAAUUGGGCAACAGUGCUGUGUGAUAGCAAAUCUCUACAUUGUGCUCAAAAACAAAGGGCAGACAACACCAAUGUGGCAGAGGAUUUGAGUGGGCAUGCACCAGGGCCUAAGACAGGAAAGGCAGGAUGGGCAAGGCUUAUGAGAGGCAAUAAAUGCAGGUUAGGUUGUUUUGAGUAUUACUAGGAAAUCACUGGGUGUGGUUAAGGGGAAAAGUAACAUGGUGUAAGUAUUUUAUGAAAAUUAAUCUGGCUAUAAAGUACUGCCUGGUUUGGAAAGGAGAAGAUUCCUUUUAUGUUGCCUUUAGUAUGUCCAGAGAAGGAUUUGAAUAAAGCAGAGCUAUAUGAGAAUAAAAGAAUAAGUACAUUUACUAUAGUUUACUUUUAUAAAGCAGAUAAGGUAAUGCUAAUAUUAUUAAUUGUAUUAUUAAGUAAUUACAUUAAUUGUAAUAUUUAGUGAGAAUGUUAAAUGUUGUCGAGUAUCCGUGAAUUUUUACCUAAAAAAUUUAUGUGGCCCUAGUUAUGAUAUUUUAGUAAUCAUACAGUUAUAUCUUCUAACAGCCUAGUAGUCAAUCUGGAUGAACCGUACUGGGUACCCAGGAGAAAGCACACAGAAUUUAAAAGUCUGUCAUUGACUUGAAUUUAUUAGCUCUUCUUUGUUCAUAAGAAAUGGAAACAUUCUAUAAAAACCUAUUUUUUAUUAAUAAAAAUUAAUAAUGCCUCUGUAGAGGCAUUUAACUCUACGUUUCACUCUGGCUAUGGGCUUAUUUCAACUUUCUUUAUAAUAAAGUGGAGGUACAUCUUUAUCUUUUUUUGUGUGAAAGAUUUAUGUAACUCAGGCACCAAAAUAUCUAGAGCACCUGCAUGACUAGAAACUUUAUAGUGCUAAUUGGCAAUAUGGUACACAGCCAGAUAAGCACAUCAGAUGAAACUCUUAAAAACAAAUAUUGAGGCUGGCAAGAUGGCCAAAUAGGAACAGCUUCAGUCUGCAGCUCCCAGCAAGAUCAACUAAGAAGGUGGGUGGUAUUUGCAUUUCCAACUGAGGUACCUGGUUCAUCUCAUUGGGACUGGUUAGGCAGUGGGUGCAGCCCACGGAGGGUGAACUGAAGCAAGGUGGGGUGUCGCCUCACCUGGGAAGUGUAAGGGGUCAGGGAACUCUCUCCUCUAGCCAAGGGAAGCCUUGAGAGACUGUGCUGUGAGGAAUAAUGCAUUCCAGCCCAGAUACUAUGCCUUUCCCAUGGUCUUUGCAACCCGCAGACCAGGAGAUUCCUUGAGGUGCCUACACCACCAGAGCCCUGGGUUUCAAGCACAGAACUGGGCAGUCGUUUGGGCAGACACUGAACUAGCUGCAAAAGUUUUUUCCAUACCCCAGUAGUGCCUGGAAUACCAGUGAGACAGAACCGCCCGCUCCCCUGGAAAGGGGGCUGAAGCCAGAGAACCAAGUGGUCUAGCUCAGCGGAUCCCACCCCCACAGAGCCCAGCAAGCUAAGAUCCACUGGCUUGAAAUUCUUGCUGCCAGCACAACAGUCUGAAGUCAACCUGGGACACUCAAGCUUGGUGAGGGGAGGAGCAUCCACCAUUACUGAGGCUUGAAUAGGUGAUUUUCCCCUCAAAAUGCUGCUGGGAAGUUAAAACUGGGCGGAGCCUACCACAGCUUGGCAAAGCCACUGUGGCCAGACUUCCUUUCUAGAUUCCUCCUCUCUGGGAAGGGCAUCUCUGAAAGAAAGGCAGCAGCCCCAGUCAGGGGCUUAUAGAUAAAACUCCCAUCUCCCUGGGACAGAGCACCUGGGGGAAGGGGUGGCUGUGGGCACAGCUUCAGCCAACUUAAACGGUCCUGCCUGCCGGCCCUGAAGAGAGCAGUGGAUCUCCCAGCACAGUGCUCCAGCUCUGCUAAGGGACGGGGUGUCUCCUCAAGUGAGUCCCUAACUCCUGUGACUCCUGACUGGGAGACACCUCUCAGCAAGAGUCGACAGACACUUCACACAGGAGAGCUCCAGCUGGCAUCUGGCAGGUGCCCCUCUGGGAUGAAGCUUCCAGAGAAAGGAACAGGCAGCAAUCUUUGCUGUUCUGCAGCCUCUGCCGGUGAUAUCCAGGGAAACAGGGUCCGAAGUGGACCUCCAGCAAACUCCAGCAGACCUGCAUAACAGGGUAGAAUGGCGAUAACUAAAAAGUCAGGAAACAACAGGUGCUGGAGAGGAUGUGGAGAAAUAGGAACACUUUUACACUGUUGGUUGGACUGUAAACUAGUUCAACCAUUGUAGAAGACAGUGUGGUGAUUCCUCAAGGAUCUAGAACAUAGAAAUGCCAUUUGACCCAACCAUCCCAUUACUGGGUAUAUACCCAAAGGAUUAUAAAUCAUGCUACUAUAAAGACACAUGCACAUGUACGUUUAUUGCGGCACUAUUCACAAUAGCAAAGACUUGGAACCAACCCAAAUGUCCAUCAAUGAUAGACUGGAUUAAGAAAAUGUUGCACAUAUACACCAUGGAAUACUAUGCAGCCAUAAAAAAGGAUGAGUUCUUGUACUUUGUAGGGACAUGGAUGAAGCUGGAAACCAUCAUUCUCAGCAAACUAUCGCAAGGACAAAAAACCAAACACCACAGGUUCUCUCACUCAUAGGUGGGAAUUGAAAAAUGACAACACAUGGACACAGGAAGGGGAACAUCACAC